rnacentral:rRNA from 1 species
ACAGCAGUCGCCACGGGAAUACGAGGGGAGCUAGCGUUAUUCGGAAUUACUGGGCGUAAAGCGCACGUAGGCGGCUUUGUAAGUUAGAGGUGAAAGCCCAGAGCUCAACUCUGGAAUUGCCUUUAAGACUGCAUCGCUUGAAUCCAGGAGAGGUGAGUGGAAUUCCGAGUGUAGAGGUGAAAUUCGUAGAUAUUCGGAAGAACACCAGUGGCGAAGGCGGCUCACUGGACUGGUAUUGACGCUGAGGUGCGAAAGCGUGGGGAGCAAACAGGAUUAGAGACCCCCGUAGUCCCUGUCUCUUAUAU